rnacentral:rRNA from 1 species
UGGGGGAUAUUGCACAAUGGGCGAAAGCCUGAUGCAGCGACGCCGCGUGGGGGAUGAAGGCUUUCGGGUUGUAAACCUCUUUCGCUAUCGAACAAGGCCCGCUUAGGGUGGGUUGAGGGUAGGUGGAGAAGAAGCGCCGGCUAACUACGUGCCAGCAGCCGCGGUAAUACGUAGGGCGCGAGCGUUGUCCGGAAUUAUUGGGCGUAAAGGGCUUGUAGGCGGCUUGCUGCGCCUGCUGUGAAAACGCGGGGCUUAACUUCGCGCGUGCAGUGGGUACGGGCAGGCUUGAGUGUGGUAGGGGUGACUGGAAUUCCAGGUGUAGCGGAGGAAUGCGCAGAUAUCUGGAGGAACACCGAUGGCGAAGGCAGGUCACUGGGCCAUUACUGACGCUGAGGAGCGAAAGCAUGGGUAGCGAACAGG